rnacentral:rRNA from 1 species
GAUGAACGCUAGCGGCAGGCCUAAUACAUGCAAGCCGAACGGCAAGUUUGAUAGCAAUAUUGGACCUAGAGUGGCGCAAGGGUGCGUAACACGUAUGCAACCUGCCCGCGACAGGAGGAUAGCUCCCCGAAAGGGGAAUUAACCCUCCAUAACACCAUGAGAAGGCAUCUGAUUAUGGUUAAACCGCAAGGGGUCGCGGAUGGGCAUGCGGUUGAUUAGCUAGUUGGCGGGGUAAAGGCCCACCAAGGCGGUGAUCAAUCGGGGUUCUGAGAGGAAGGUCCCCCACACUGGCACUGAGAUACGGGCCAGACUCCUACGGGAGGCAGCAGUAGGGAAUAUGGGACAAUGGUUGCAAGACUGAUCCAGCCAUGCCGCGUGCAGGAAGAAGGCCUCCUGGGUCGUAAACUGCUUUUUCCUGUGGAUAAAAUACCCGUGCGCGGGGAAUUGAAGGUAACAGGGGAAUAAGCCACGGCUAACUACGUG